GAUGAACGCUGGCGGCGUGCCUAAUACAUGCAAGUCGAGCGAACGGACGAGAAGCUUGCUUCUCUGAUGUUAGCGGCGGACGGGUGAGUAACACGUGGAUAACCUACCUAUAAGACUGGGAUAACUUCGGGAAACCGGAGCUAAUACCGGAUGAUAUUUUGAACCGCAUGGUUCAAAAGUGAAAGACGGUCUUGCUGUCACUUAUAGAUGGAUCCGCGCUGCAUUAGCUAGUUGGUAAGGUAACGGCUUACCAAGGCAACGAUGCAUAGCCGACCUGAGAGGGUGAUCGGCCACACUGGAACUGAGACACGGUCCAGACUCCUACGGGAGGCAGCAGUAGGGAAUCUUCCGCCAUGGGCGAAAGCCUGACGGAGCAACGCCGCGUGAGUGAUGAGGGUCUUCGGAUCGUAAAACUCUGUUAUUAGGGAAGAACAUAUGUGUAAGUAACUGUGCACAUCUUGACGGUACCUAAUCAGAAAGCCACGGCUAACUACGUG
rnacentral:rRNA from 1 species